ensembl:lncRNA
AUGAAUUUAGAAUCAAUAACUAAGCUAUUGGAUGAUCGUAAAAGGCAAGGAAAGGAAAAUGCUGUCCUAUCCCAAGGAAUACAAGAGAGUUAUCAAACAUGGCUGUGUCCCUCUUGCCACUUUGAUGCUGAGGGACUCGUCCAGCUGUAAACCCACAGCAUUGUUUGAGAGGCCAUCAAGACCCAAACAGACCUAUAUGCGGUUUCACAAGGCACCCGGUUUUGGAGACAAAGGACAGUGAUGACUCUUGACGAUUCACAGAGUUGGGAUAGGAUGGAGACACUGCUCACUGUCAGCUCCAGAAGGUCUCAAAAACUCCUAUCUAUUACCUGGACAUUGUCAUCAGCCUACAAAGAACCUCAACCUUUGUGACAAAAUCUUGACAGCUGCCAUCUCUUGUCCUCCCUGUCAUCACAACAGAUCCUGGACCUCACAUUUGUGGACAAGAAGCCUGAGACACCACAGACAUCCAGAUGCUGGUGAGUACAAGAAUUUGAGAGCCUGAGUGAAAGUUUUUUUGUUUGUUUUUAAUUUGAAAUAAGUUCACCUUCAUCUCCUGUAAGAUCUGAGGUGGGUAUUUGCUACAUUGCUAAUAUGCUGUGCAACAGUAUUUCCUACAUAUACACAUACAGGCACAAUUGGGAAUGUGUCUCAAAUAUGAUUUCAAAUGUGAAGAAUCUAUACUUGAUUGAAAUGAUCUGACUAAAAACACUUCCUUGGGCCCAUUCAUUCAAGACUUCCCCCUAGGAUCCUUUCUAGCAGUUUAUCAAAUACUUUACAAAAGUUACGUGGUCCAAAGCACAUACAGCCGUAUGUGCACCUAUACAUUUAUCAAAAUGUAUAUAUUCAUUUAAUUCUUGUCAACUUCUGCCUUAUUAGUAAAACCCAGUUCCCCAUAUGCUGAAACAAUGACCUUUAUAUUAUAAAUUCAAGGAUUUAUAAAACAGAUGGUGGAGAUAAAAAAAAAAGGAAAAACAGAAAGAAAAAAAGACAACAAAUAAAACUCCAGCUUGUCCGGCUGCA